rnacentral:rRNA from 1 species
GACGAACGCUGGCGGCGUGCUUAACACAUGCAAGUCGAACGGAAAGGCCCUGCUUUUGUGGGGUGCUCGAGUGGCGAACGGGUGAGUAACACGUGAGUACCCUGCCCUUGCCUUUGGGAUAACUUAAGAAAACUGGGGGUAAUCCCGGCAAGGAGCUCUCGCUGCUGGGUGGGGGUUGGAAAGUUUCGCCGGUUGGGCUGGUCAAGGGCCUUCUCGGCUUCGUGGUGUGGUUGGGGCUUACGGAGGCUUUGACGGGUAGCCGGCCUGAGAGGGUGAACGGCAACAUUGGGACUGAGAUACGGCCCAGACUCCUACGGGAGGCAGCAGUGGCGGAUAUUGCACUAUGGGCGGAAGCCUGAUGCAGCAACGCCGCUGGCGGGAUGACGGCCUUCGGGUUGUAAACCUCUUUCUCCUGUGACGAAGCGUGAGUUACGGUAAUGGGUAAAGAAGCACCGGCUAACUACGUG